rnacentral:tRNA from 1 species
GGCUCUGUAGAUCAGGGGUUAGAGCAUUGGUCUUGUAAACCAGGGGUUGUGAGUUCAAAUCUCACCAGGGCCU